CCUGUUAUUUGUUAAGAAAAAAAAGCCGAAGUUUCUUGCAUUGUUCAUGCAAUUUCGUUGUUUAUUAACAAAUUGUAUUUUAAACAAGUUGGUGGUCAAUUAGUUAUAAAAUAAAAUAAUUAUUAAUAAAAAGUAAAUAAAUUUAUUGUGUAUAAUAUAUAGCCGAUAGAAAAACAACAAAGAAAUAAGAAAGACUAAUUAAAUUGCAUUUAAAAAAACCUCACCUCUUAACAUCUACAUUACCCUGAGGUAUUCUCAACUUUAACAGCAACCAAAAUGCGUACAGUAUUAGCCUUAUUAUUGGCUUUUGUAGCCUUAGCUCAGGCUGUUUC